rnacentral:lncRNA from 1 species
AUUUAAUGGUCAUGUCUCUUUAUCUUUUUCCAGUCUGGAAGAGUGCAGCAUGGGUGGCCUCUCAUAGGCUAAUUUAUCCUUACUCGCAUCCCCUCUGCACCAAGGGUGCUGGAAAAGGCAGAGAGUGACUGCAACCAAAUGCUAUCUUGUCAGACAUAUAGAAUGAUUAACUGCCUGAGUGGGUAAGGAGAUGCCUGGAAGCAGGUCACUGGCACAUCCAUAGGUCCUGUGGCAGAUGGUAUUCUAACGAGGGCAGCAGCAUCCCACAUGCUCUUCUUACAAGGAGCAGACAAGAGAUGUGGUCCACCUGGGCAGAGCUCACAGCUAAGACUGCAGUCGAAGGCAAGACUCCUGAGCCAACAUCAUGGAAAACAGCACCACAGAUCUUCUCUAUUUCGGUCCAUCCCAGAAUUGGAGGGAAUAACUCUCCCUGACACAGCCUGUUCAUGCUAUCUAUGAGAUGCCCUAAUAAUUAACUCUGGGCCUUCCAACCUAAUAUGAAUGUUGAAAUACCAGCCCUGGAUUUCCUGCUUGUCCUCAUGCCGUAUAUGCUGCCAAGCUACUCCAAAGUGAAAAUGGCAAUUUCCUUUACAAAUUACUUUGUGCUCCUGCUAUUAAUCUAAUAGAGAUAUGGAAGUGGGCGAAAGAAAAGAAGCUGCUCUUCUGGCAAUAAGGAACAAUCCUGAGAUCAAAUUACACAUUUGUGUAAUUGGAGGCCUACUCCAAAUUACACAUUUCUUCAUAUGGUUUGGCUGAACAGUUGAAGUUGAGAGUAGACCCUGACUCUAUCUCUUAGGAAUUAGAAUCAUUUAUAAUCCCUGUUUCUUUUGACUAGUUCUGCCAGUUGAUGAUAAGAUGUAAGACAAAAUGAGAUAAAAAUAAAACAGAAUUUUUAAAAAACUAUUGUGAGUUUAAGAUCUAGUAAAAUAAUGUGGGUAGUCUUCUAGAAUCUAGUUAAAUAAAAAAAAUAAAUAAAAUUCUUAGAAAUAUAAGAUAUCAACAUUUUUUUAAACAAAAGGACAAUGGAAGAUCCAGGAAGAUAAGAGAGGACAGGAGUAAGUUUGAUGCCUUCACGCAGGGAGGUGAAAUCAUUCAUCCCCUAGUUUGAGUUGUUUUCCAGUGCUGAUGAUGGAUUCGAACAAUCCGUCCAAACCUUUUCACCCAGUUCCUCUCUUUACCAAUUG